rnacentral:rRNA from 1 species
UCCGUAGGCGGGCGAUUAAGUCAGAGGUGAAAUCCCACAGCUCAACUGUGGAACUGCCCUUGAUACUGGUUGUCUUGAGUUACAGUGAAGUAGAUAGAAUAUGUAGUGUAGCGGUGAAAUGCAUAGAUAUUACAUAGAAUACCGAUUGCGAAGGCAGUCUACUAACUGUUAACUGACGCUAAGGGACGAAAGCGUGGGGAGCGAACAGGAUUAGAUACCCUGGUAGUCC